CCUACGGGAGGCUGCAGUGGGGAAUAUUGGACAAUGGGGGGAACCCUGAUCCAGCCAUGCCGCGUGUGUGAAGAAGGCCCUCGGGUUGUAAAGCACUUUCAGUGAGGAAGAACGCCUGGUGGUUAAUACCCAUCAGGAAAGACAUCACUCACAGAAGAAGCACCGGCUAACUCCGUGCCAGCAGCCGCGGUAAUACGGAGGGUGCGAGCGUUAAUCGGAAUUACUGGGCGUAAAGCGCGCGUAGGUGGCUUGAUAAGCCGGUUGUGAAAGCCCCGGGCUCAACCUGGGAACGGCAUCCGGAACUGUCAAGCUAGAGUGCAGGAGAGGAAGGUAGAAUUCCCGGUGUAGCGGUGGAAUGCGUAGAGAUCGGGAGGAAUACCAGUGGCGAAGGCGGCCUUCUGGACUGACACUGACACUGAGGUGCGAAAGCGUGGGUAGCAAACAGGAUUAGAUACCCGAGUAGUC
rnacentral:rRNA from 1 species